UACGAAGGGGGCUAGCGUUGCUCGGAAUCACUGGGCGUAAAGCGCACGUAGGCGGAUUCUUAAGUCGGUGGUGAAAUCCUGGAGCUCAACUCCAGAACUGCCUUCGAUACUGAGAGUCUUGAGUCCGGGAGAGGUGAGUGGAACUGCGAGUGUAGAGGUGAAAUUCGUAGAUAUUCGCAAGAACACCAGUGGCGAAGGCGGCUCACUGGCCCGGUACUGACGCUGAGGUGCGAAAGCGUGGGGAGCGAACAGG
rnacentral:rRNA from 1 species